UUCCACCUGCAGCCCGUGGAGGACCCCACGCCGGAGCAGGUGGAGGCACCUGAAGGAGGCUGCAGCCCGUGGGAAGCCCACGCUGGAGCAAGUUCCUGGCCGGACCGGUGGACCCGUGAAGAGGGGAGCCCAUGCCAGGGCAGGUUUGCUGGCAGGACUUGUGACCCCACCCACAUUGGAGAAGUUCGUGAAGGACUGUCUCCCAUGAGAGGGACUCCAUGCUGGAGCAGGGGAACGAUGAGAGGAGUCCUCCCCCUGAGGAUGAAGAAGCAGCAGAAACACCGUGUGAUGAACUGACCGUAACCCCCAUUCCCCGUCCCCCUGUGCCGCUGAGGGGGGGAAGGUUGAAGCCGGGAGUGAAGUUGAGCCUGGGAAGAUGGGAGGGGUGGGGGGAGGUGUUUUAAGAGUUGAUUUCAUUUCUCAUUCCUCUACUCUGUUUUGCCUAGUAAUAAAUUAGAUGAAUUCCCUCUCUAA